rnacentral:tRNA from 1 species
GUCGUGGUAGUUUAAUAAAACACUAGUCUGUGACACUAGAAAUGAAAUUUUUUUCUCAUGAC